GGCGUUCGGCUCGGGAGAGGUCUGCAAAACCUUUAUUCAGGGGUUCGAAUCCCCUCCUCGCCUCCA
rnacentral:tRNA from 1 species